AUUUUCCGGCCUCUGGCGCGUCUGCUUCUUCGCAGGGCGGGAGAAGGGGCGCUGCGUGGCCUCCGAAUAUUUCCUGGAGCCGGAGCUGAACUUGGUCACCGAAAACACCGAAAAUAUUCUCAAGACGGUGAGGACGGCCACG